rnacentral:rRNA from 1 species
CCUACGGGGGGCAGCAGUGGGGAAUAUUGCACAAUGGGCGCAAGCCUGAUGCAGCCAUGCCGCGUGUGUGAAGAAGGCCUUCGGGUUGUAAAGCACUUUCAGCGGGGAGGAAGGCGGUGAGGUUAAUAACCUCAUCGAUUGACGUUACCCGCAGAAGAAGCACCGGCUAACUCCGUGCCAGCAGCCGCGGUAAUACGGAGGGUGCAAGCGUUAAUCGGAAUUACUGGGCGUAAAGCGCACGCAGGCGGUCUGUCAAGUCGGAUGUGAAAUCCCCGGGCUCAACCUGGGAACUGCAUUCGAAACUGGCAGGCUAGAGUCUUGUAGAGGGGGGUAGAAGUCCAGGCGUAGCGGUGAAAUGCGUAGAGAUCUGGAGGAAUACCGGUGGCGAAGGCGGCCCCCUGGACAAAGACUGACGCUCAGGUGCGAAAGCGUGGGGAGCAAACAGGAUUAGAUACCCCGGUAGUC